GGAGGAAAGUAGGGGAUCGAAAGACCUUAUGCUUUUGGAGCGGCCGAUGUCUGAUUAGCUAGUUGGUAAGGUAAUGGCUUACCAAGGCAACGAUCAGUAGUUGGUCUGAGAGGACGACCAGCCACACUGGGACUGAGACACGGCCCAGACUCCUACGGGAGGCAGCAGUGGGGAAUUUUGGACAAUGGGCGCAAGCCUGAUCCAGCAAUGCCGCGUGAGUGAAGAAGGCCUUCGGGUUGUAAAGCUCUUUCAGUUGAGAAGAAAAGAUUGUGACUAAUAAUUGCAAUUCAUGACGGUAUCAACAGAAGAAGCACCGGCUAACUACGUGCCAGCAGCCGCGGUAAUACGUAGGGUGCGAGCGUUAAUCGGAAUUACUGGGCGUAAAGGGUGCGCAGGCGGUUCUGUAAGUCAGAUGUGAAAUCCCCGGGCUUAACCUGGGAACUGCGUUUGAAACUACAAGGCUAGA
rnacentral:rRNA from 1 species